AGAGUUUGAUCCAUGGCUCAGGAUGAACGCUGGCGGCGUGCUUAACACAUGCAAGUCGAACGAUGAAGCCCAGCUUGCUGGGUGGAUUAGUGGCGAACGGGUGAGUAACACGUGAGUAACCUGCCCUUGACUCUGGGAUAAGCCUGGGAAACUGGGUCUAAUACCGGAUAGGAACGUCCACCGCAUGGUGGUUGUUGGAAAGAUUUAUCGGUCAUGGAUGGACUCGCGGCCUAUCAGCUUGUUGGUGAGGUAAUGGCUCACCAAGGCGACGACGGGUAGCCGGCCUGAGAGGGUGACCGGCCACACUGGGACUGAGACACGGCCCAGACUCCUACGGGAGGCAGCAGUGGGGAAUAUUGCACAAUGGGCGAAAGCCUGAUGCAGCGACGCCGCGUGAGGGAUGACGGCCUUCGGGUUGUAAACCUCUUUCAGUAGGGAAGAAGCGAAAGUGACGGUACCUGCAGAAGAAGCACCGGCUAACUACGUGCCAGCAGCCGCGGUAAUACGUAGGGUGCGAGCGUUAUCCGGAAUUAUUGGGCGUAAAGAGCUCGUAGGCGGUUUGUCGCGUCUGUCGUGAAAGUCCGGGGCUUAACCCCGGAUCUGCGGUGGGUACGGGCAGACUAGAGUGCAGUAGGGGAGACUGGAAUUCCUGGUGUAGCGGUGGAAUGCGCAGAUAUCAGGAGGAACACCGAUGGCGAAGGCAGGUCUCUGGGYCUGUAACUGACGCUGAGGAGCGAAAGCAUGGGGAGCGAACAGGAUUAGAUACCUGGUAGUCCAUGCCCGUAAAACGUUGGGCACUAGGUGUGGGGACCAUUCCACGGUUUCCGCGCCGCAGCUAACGCAUUAAGUGCCCCGCCUGGGGAGUACGGCCGCAAGGCUAAAACUCAAAGGAAUUGACGGGGGCCCGCACAAGCGGCGGAGCAUGCGGAUUAAUUCGAUGCAACGCGAAGAACCUUACCAAGGCUUGACAUGUUCUCGAUCGCCGUAGAGAUACGGUUUCCCCUUUGGGGCGGGAUCACAGGUGGUGCAUGGUUGUCGUCAGCUCGUGUCGUGAGAUGUUGGGUUAAGUCCCGCAACGAGCGCAACCCUCGUUCCAUGUUGCCAGCACGUCAUGGUGGGGACUCAUGGGAGACUGCCGGGGUCAACUCGGAGGAAGGUGGGGACGACGUCAAAUCAUCAUGCCCCUUAUGUCUUGGGCUUCACGCAUGCUACAAUGGCCGGUACAAUGGGUUGCGAUACUGUGAGGUGGAGCUAAUCCCAAAAAGCCGGUCUCAGUUCGGAUUGGGGUCUGCAACUCGACCCCAUGAAGUCGGAGUCGCUAGUAAUCGCAGAUCAGCAACGCUGCGGUGAAUACGUUCCCGGGCCUUGUACACACCGCCCGUCAAGUCACGAAAGUCGGUAACACCCGAAGCCGGUGGCCUAACCCUUGUGGGGGGAGCCGUCGAAGGUGGGACCAGCGAUUGGGACUAAGUCGUAUCAGGUAACCGUA
rnacentral:rRNA from 1 species